GGGGAUGAGUCAGGGGCAAGGAAGGAUUAACAGAUUCUGCCUCAAGUCCUGGUGAACCAACUCCUCUCCCCAAGACAGACACAUACUAGUGAAAUAAAUUGGAUUUAAAUCAUCACCUGAGGCAAUCCUGAAAGAGAAAAGCAGUCCUAGAAAAGAGUGGAGGAAAAGAGGACAGCCCCAUUCUCUUUGUGACCACGAAGACUGCCGCCAUGUGGUUGGGAGCCACGUAACUUCUUUUAGUGCCAGCUGAGAUUCUUCUGCCCUGGAACUAGUUCCUCCGAGUUAUUGCCAGGCCUGGAGAUUGAAUUCCUGCAGCUGGAAGGUGGGGAAAGGUACGGACAAAUGAGCUAUGAAUUUAACAGGCUAACAUCCCAGCUCCACAGGGCUGUGGCCAGAGAGGAAUUCUCCCCUUUCAAAGCUGACUCCGGAUUGCUUAGAGAAAGAAGCGAAUAAUAAUUGAGUCAGAAUGAGAAGUCCUUCCUUCCUUCUCAGGAGGAUGUCCUGUUAGCAACUUCUUUGGACACAAGGAGGAAAUUAAGAAGCAUCAUUACUGUUAAUAUCAUUUUCUUUUUCAGAAUGUUAACAGCCUUGAUAUUAUACAAAGGUUGAUAAAAAUGUAUUUCAUAAGUCAAUUAUUGCAUCAUAAUUCAAAAAAAUAGUAGCAAACAUUGUUGUUUAGAAAUCAGAAAUAAGUAACGAUCACUCUUGGAUAUAACUUCCCCAUAAACUAAAGCAUAUCCCACUGUGUGAUAUCUGAGAGUUAACAAUUCUCCAAAACUUUCAAAUAGAAGCUCAAUUACAGCAUGGUUUUUUUUUAAUCACUGAUUAUUUUAACUGUAUUAAUCAAAGAAAGCAGCAAAUGAUUUUUUUUAAUCCAUUGAUUCUUUUAGCAGGCAUUCAAAUAAUUCAGAAAAGACGUGUUUCUAACUUUUAUGUUAGAAUUAAAGCUGGAGUGCAGUGACAUGAUCUCACCUCACUGCAACCUCUGCCUCCCG
rnacentral:lncRNA from 1 species